GAAACCCUAGAAGACCUUUUCUUUAUAUAGGCCCUUCCUUGAUUCAAAUCAGAAAUCAAUUAACUUAAAAAGAUACAUUCUUAUCUCAUAAAAAUUUUUAUCUUUUUAAUCUAAUUUUUUUAAUAAAAGUAGACUUAAUUGGUAGGAUAUCAGUUCCUUUUGGUAAGCAUAUGGGGCACCUCAGUUAGAUAAGGCAAUCUGAGUGGGCGCCCCAUGGAAUAGAGGGC
rnacentral:lncRNA from 1 species